ACGGUCCUACGGGAGGCAGCAGUGAGGAAUAUUGGUCAAUGGGAGAGAUCCUGAACCAGCCAAGCCGCGUGAGGGAAGACGGCCCUAUGGGUUGUAAACCUCUUUUGUCGGAGAACAAAACCCGGGACGUGUCCCGGACUGCGUGUAUCCGAAGAAAAAGCAUCGGCUAACUCCGUGCCAGCAGCCGCGGUAAUACGGAGGAUGCGAGCGUUAUCCGGAUUUAUUGGGUUUAAAGGGUGCGCAGGCGGAGGUGCAAGUCAGCGGUCAAAUUGCGGGGCUCAACCCCGUACUGCCGUUGAAACUGC
rnacentral:rRNA from 1 species